rnacentral:rRNA from 1 species
AUGAUCGCCGGUCUUCCUAUCAAGUGGAAUCCUCUUUGUGUGAGCACCGAUUCUAAUGCGUGGCAUGAGCAGAUGCAUGCCCUUAUCGGUAUGGUUCCUCCGGAGCCUCGGGAACCAGAAGCAGAAGACAAGAAGAAGGAAAGAGUCGCAGCCGGUGCUCCUUUCACCUGGAUUGCACGGAACUUUGGUUCUUGCCCUGAGGAUGCUAAUGAGGAUGAGUUCAAGACAUAUGCUCGUGUCUAUAUGUGGUACGUUAUAUCCAGGACUAUGUUUGCUGAUGGCACAGGCAAGAAUGCUCCAUGGAUGUGGCUGAAGGCGUUGACCGUCUUCGAUAGCACAUGGAGUUGGGGUUUGGCGACUGUCGGUGUCAAAACCGGCGGAUCUCGGGUAGGGGGUCCCGAACUGUGCGUCUAG